rnacentral:rRNA from 1 species
UACCCGCAGCUCAAGUGGUGGUCAUUAUUAUUGGGCCUAAAGCGUCCGCAGCUGGCCUGUUAGAUGCCUGGGUAAAUCGAUGCGCUCAACGUAUCGAAUUCCGGGUAGACCGGCAGGCUCGAGACCGGGAGAGGUGUAGGCUACUCGAGGGGUAGGGGUAAAAUCCUGUAAUCCUUCGGGGAGGACCAGUGGCGAAGGCGCUACACUAGAACGGCUCUGACAGUGAGGGACGAAGCCCUGGGGCGCAAACCGG